rnacentral:rRNA from 1 species
UCGCGCCUACGGGGCGCAGCAGUGGGGAAUAUUGCACAAUGGGGGAAACCCUGAUGCAGCGACGCCGCGUGAGUGAAGAAGUAUUUCGGUACGUAAAGCUCUAUCAGCAGGGAAGAAAAACCGGCCUUAGGGCCGCCAGACGGUACCUGACUAAGAAGCCCCGGCUAACUACGUGCCAGCAGCCGCGGUAAUACGUAGGGGGCAAGCGUUAUCCGGAUUUAUUGGGUUUAAAGGGUGCGUAGGCGGGCUGUUAAGUCAGCGGUAAAAGCCCGGGGCUCAACCCCGGCGAGCCGUUGAAACUGGCU